rnacentral:rRNA from 1 species
GCACAAGCAGCGGAGCGUGUGGUUUAAUUCGUUGCUACACGAAGAACCUUACCUGGGUUUGACAUAUAGGUUGUAGGGAACUGAAAGGGACCGACCUUCGGGAGCCUAUACAGGUGUUGCAUGGCUGUCGUCAGCUCGUGUCGUGAGAUGUUCGGUUAAGUCCGCUAACGAGCGCAACCCUCGUCGUAUGUUAUAUGUGUCAUACGAGACUGCCGGUAAAAAGCCGGAGGAAGGUGAGGAUGAUGUCAAGUCAGCAUGACCUUUAUAUCCAGGGCUACACACACGCUGCAAUGGUCUGUACAAUGGGUAGCCAAGCCGCGAGGCGGAGCCAAUCCUGAAAGCAGGCCUCAGUUCAGAUUGCAGUCUGCAACUCGACUGCAUGAAGCCGGAGUUGCUAGUAACCGCAGGUCAGCAAUACUGCGGUGAAUACGUUCCCGGGUCUU